AGUGAACGCUGGCGGUAGGCCUAACACAUGCAAGUCGAACGGCAGCACAGUAAGAGCUUGCUCUUACGGGUGGCGAGUGGCGGACGGGUGAGGAAUACAUCGGAAUCUACUUUUUCGUGGGGGAUAACGUAGGGAAACUUACGCUAAUACCGCAUACGACCUACGGGUGAAAGCAGGGGAUCUUCGGACCUUUCGCGAUUGAAUGAGCCGAUGUCGGAUUAGCUAGUUGGCGGGGUAAAGGCCCACCAAGGCGACGAUCCGUAGCUGGUCUGAGAGGAUGAUCAGCCACACUGGAACUGAGACACGGUCCAGACUCCUACGGGAGGGAGCAGUGGGGAAUAUUGGACAAUGGGCGCAAGCCUGAUCCAGCCAUACCGCGUGGGUGAAGAAGGCCUUCGGGUUGUAAAGCCCUUUUGUUGGGAAAGAAAAGCAGCAGGUUAAUACCCAGCUGUUCUGACGGUACCCAAAGAAUAAGCACCGGCUAACUUCGUG
rnacentral:rRNA from 1 species